rnacentral:sRNA from 1 species
AAUUAUAUAGUACUAGAAAAUGUCCUACGCGAUGCGUGGGUGAAAUGAAUGUAGUGAAAUAUAUGUCUAUAACUAAUAUAUAUUAAU